ensembl:snoRNA SNORD11B small nucleolar RNA SNORD11B
UGACAGUGGUGAUGAUGACGACAAUUGUCUUUUUCCUGAAAUAAACCAUGUGGGUUUUUCAGUCACUACCUCAUCUGAACAGUCA